AGAGUUUGAUCCUGGCUCAGAGCGAACGCUGGCGGCAGGCUUAACACAUGCAAGUCGAGCGGGCGUAGCAAUACGUCAGCGGCAGACGGGUGAGUAACGCGUGGGAACGUACCUUUUGGUUCGGAACAACACAGGGAAACUUGUGCUAAUACCGGAUAAGCCCUUACGGGGAAAGAUUUAUCGCCGAAAGAUCGGCCCGCGUCUGAUUAGCUAGUUGGUGAGGUAACGGCUCACCAAGGCGACGAUCAGUAGCUGGUCUGAGAGGAUGAUCAGCCACAUUGGGACUGAGACACGGCCCAAACUCCUACGGGAGGCAGCAGUGGGGAAUAUUGGACAAUGGGCGCAAGCCUGAUCCAGCCAUGCCGCGUGAGUGAUGAAGGCCCUAGGGUUGUAAAGCUCUUUUGUGCGGGAAGAUAAUGACGGUACCGCAAGAAUAAGCCCCGGCUAACUUCGUGCCAGCAGCCGCGGUAAUACGUAGGGGGCUAGCGUUAUCCGGAAUUACUGGGCGUAAAGGGUGCGUAGGUGGUUUUUUAAGUCAGAAGUGAAAGGCUACGGCUCAACCGUAGUAAGCUUUUGAAACUGAGAAACUUGAGUGCAGAAGAGGAAAGUGGAAUUCCAUGUGUAGCGGUGAAAUGCGUAGAGAUAUGGAGGAACACCAGUGGCGAAGGCGACUUUCUGGUCUGUAACUGACACUGAGGCGCGAAAGCGUGGGGAGCAAACAGGAUUAGAUACCCUGGUAGUCCACGCCGUAAACGAUGAGUGCUAGAUGUAGGGAGCUAUAAGUUCUCUGUAUCGCAGCUAACGCAAUAAGCACUCCCCCUGGGGAGUACGACCGCAAGGUUGAAACUCAAAUGAAU
rnacentral:rRNA from 1 species